rnacentral:rRNA from 1 species
CCUACGGGCGGCAGCAGUGGGGAAUAUUGGACAAUGGGGGGAACCCUGAUCCAGCGACGCCGCGUGAGUGAAGAAGUAUUUCGGUAUGUAAAGCUCUAUCAGCAGGGAAGAAAAUGACGGUACCUGACUAAGAAGCCCCGGCUAACUACGUGCCAGCAGCCGCGGUAAUACAUAGGGGGCAAGUGUUAUCCGGAUUUACUGGGUGUAAAGGGAGCGUAGACGGCAGGGCAAGUCUGGAGUGAAAGCCCGGGGCCCAACCCCGGGACUGCUUUGGAAACUGCCAUGCUAGAGUGCUGGAGAGGUAAGCGGAAGUCCUAGUGUAGCGGUGAAAUGCGUAGAUAUUAGGAGGAACACCAGUGGCGAAGGCGGCUUACUGGACAGUAACUGACGUUGAGGCUCGAAAGCGUGGGGAGCAAACAGGAUUAGAUACCCUGGUAGUC